AGCCCCGUAGUCUAGCGGCCAAGGAUCCCGGACUCUGAAUCCGGGGACGAGAGUUCGAAUCUCUCCGGGGCUA
rnacentral:tRNA from 1 species